rnacentral:rRNA from 1 species
GGGGGGGGGGGGGGGGGGGCGGGGGGGGUGGGGGGGGGGCGGGGGGGCGGCUGCGGGUUGGGUGGGGGGGGAGGGGGGGCGGACGGGGGCGUAGCGCGUGAGUGAGCUGCGCGCUUCUUGUGGGUCACCGCAGGGCAGUGUGGCUAAUGCGGGAUGUUCUGGGUCUGUCGCAUGAUGGGGCUGGGAAAGGUAUGGGGUCGGUGGUGGACGGGCGCGCGUCCUAUCAGCUGUUUGGUGUGGUGAUUGCCUACCAAGGCGGUGGCGGCUCGCCGGCCUGAGAGGGUGGACGGUAACACUGGGACUGAGACACGGCCAAGACUCCUACGGGCGGCAGCAGUGGGGAAUAUUGCACAAUGGGCGAAAGCCUGAUGCAGCGACGCCGCGUGAGGGAUGGAGUCCGUCGGGUUGUGAACCUCUUUCGCCAGUGAAGCAGGCCUGCCUCGUUUGUGGGUGGGUUGACGGUAGCUUGAGAAGAAGCGCCGGCUAACUACGUG